rnacentral:rRNA from 1 species
CCUACGGGGGGCAGCAGUGGGGAAUAUUGCACAAUGGGCGCAACCCUGAUCCAGCGACGCCGCGUGAGUGAAGAAGUAUUUCGGUAUGUAAAGCUCUUUCAGCAGGGAAGAAAAUGACGGUACCUGACUAAGAAACCCCGGCUAACAACGGGCCAGCAGCCGCGGUAAUAUGCAGGGGGCAAGCGUUAUCCGGAUUUAUUGGGUGUAAAGGGAGCGUAGACGGCAGAGCAAGUCUGAAGUGAAAGCCCGCGGCCCAACUGCGGGACUGCUUUUGAAACUGCUCGGCUAGAGUGAUGGAGAGGUAAGCGGAAUUCCUAGUGUAGCGGUGAAAUGCGUAGAUAUUAGGAAGAACACCAGUGGCGAAGGCGGCUUACUGGACAGUAACUGACGUUGAGGCUCGAAAGCGUGGGGAGCAAACAGGAUUAGAUACCCUUGUAGUC